CUUAUAUCAUUAUGCGAGAAUUCAGAGACAACAUUCAAACAAUUAUAUUUAAUGUACAAAAUGUAGCGAUUUCGGUCAUUGGGAUUAGUGGGGACAGAAUAGGUCGAAGUAUGGACUUUAGAGUGCUAGAAGAGGAGAUUCAAAGGAACCGACCACAGAAUCUAACUUUACAUAUUGCGGGAAACGAUAUCGAUCAGCCGCAGGCUGAUGAGGAUUCGGUUAGGGAGAUUGUGUCAAAAAUAAUGGCGACAUGUGACUUGUUUUUAAACCGGUAUCAUUUAAAUAAGAUAUAUGUGUGUCAGUCGUUACCAAGAUAUUCCACAAGACACUGCCGAGUUGUUUUAUAUAAUAAGUAUUGUAAAUAGUCUUGGCAAAUCAACUUUGAAAAGAAGAAGUUAAAAACAGAAGGCAGGUUGUGUACUGGAAGUUAAAGGGCUUGAAGAACUCUGUAGUGAAUAACUUUUGUGAUUAGGGCAAUCAGGGGUGCUGUGAUACAUAGUACAAGUGAUAGCUAUAUAAAUAGUUUGUAUGUCAUUUAGCCAUAUAACAAUUAUGGUUAAUUUGCAUCUCAAGUUUAUGAAACAGGCAAUACAUGUAUAUGUACUUUAGCCUUAGUACCCUAGUGACUUAGAACAGCUUACAAAACGGGUAUUAAUGAUUUAAAAAAAAAGAAAAAAGCUUAUUAUGCAUAUAUGACACAAUGUUAUACUUUCAGCAGUUUUCUGUUUAAUCACAUAUUAGAUGCAUUGUAGAGAGCCAGUCCAAGAGUGGGAAAUACAGAAAGGGACACUUGUGAUCAAGCAUUUAUUUUUACUUAGAACAAGAUGAGUACCGGUAAUAGGCCUACAGACUAUGGGGGUGGUUACAAAGCCAGUUAAUUUACAACAAGAGGAAGUCGCAAGUGACACUCCAACAAGCAACAAUCAUUCAAGCCAAUUAGAAGAUGGCAAUUUUACCAAGUAAUUCAGGAAAGAGGACAUUGGCUUAGAAAAACAUUUUCAACCAUGAUGACAGGAGCAUCUGGUUGUAUCAAGUAGUAAAGUUUUGAUGUAAUUAUGCAUCAAGUGUGACACAUUAUCUGUUUCAGGAAAGAGGACAUUGGCUCAGAAAAACAUUUUCAACCAUGAUGACAGGAGCAUCUGGUUCUAUCAAGAAGUAGUGAAGUUUUGAUGUAAUUAUGCAUCUAACAAAGUUUGUGUACAUGCAUAAUAAUAUGGUAUUGUUUUACAAGAGUUGAAAUAGUUUCUUUGUAUGUUGGUAAUGUGUUAUUUUUCAUUGUUUGUAUCCAGUUUGUAUGAAUUUUAGGGAUACUUCUAUUGUAGUAAGAUUAAGACUCGCACUAAGGAUUGGGUGGGGAUUACUGCUGAUGACAGUUCAGAUCUGCCUGUCAUUGGCAGUAAGUGGCAUUUUUACCUUACCCCACCUUUGAUGUAAAAAUUUUAUACAGUAAUGUUUUGAUCUAUUUGGAAGUUGCAUGUAGUGAUAUUGGUAUCACUGCAAGGUUUAUAAAUGUAAAUCUAUCAAACUACAUUUUCAUUUUUGUACUAGUUUUACAAAAUUGUCAUUUGAUAAUAAAUGACCUUUUUCAACUUCAAACGGUGUUGUGUUGGUAUCAGAUAGUGUAAUAUUACAUCAAACAGGGCAACCUUUAGUGCGAGUAUGAGGAAG